GGGGGAUAUUGCACAAUGGAGGAAACUCUGAUGCAGCAACGCCGCGUGAGGGAAGAAGGUCUUCGGAUUGUAAACCUCAGUAGUCAGGGACGAAAGAAAUGACGGUACCUGAAGAGUAAGCUCCGGCUAACUACGUGCCAGCAGCCGCGGUAAUACGUAGGGAGCGAGCGUUGUCCGGAUUUACUGGGUGUAAAGGGUGCGUAGGCGGGAUAGCAAGUCAGACGUGAAAUACCGAGGCUUAACUUCGGGGCUGCGUUUGAAACUGUUAUUCUUGAGUGAAGUAGAGGCAGGCGGAAUUCCUAGUGUAGCGGUGAAAUGCGUAGAUAUUAGGAGGAACACCAGUGGCGAAGGCGGCCUGCUGGGCUUUAACUGACGCUGAGGCACGAAAGCAUGGGGAGCAAACA
rnacentral:rRNA from 1 species